GGAAACGAACGCUAAUACCGCAUAACAUGAAGGAACGGCAUCGUUCUUUCAUCAAAGAUUUUAUCGCUGAGAGAUGGGCUCGCGGCCGAUUAGGUAGUUGGUGAGAUAACAGCCCACCAAGCCGACGAUCGGUAGCCGGACUGAGAGGUUGAACGGCCACAUUGGGACUGAGACACGGCCCAGACUCCUACGGGAGGCAGCAGUGGGGGAUAUUGCACAAUGGAGGAAACUCUGAUGCAGCGACGCCGCGUGAGGGAAGACGGUCUUCGGAUUGUAAACCUCUGUCUUUGGGGAAGAAAAUGACGGUACCCAAAGAGGAAGCUCCGGCUAACUAC
rnacentral:rRNA from 1 species